AAGCGGUGGAGCAUGUGGUUUAAUUCGAUGCAACGCGAAGAACCUUACCUGGUCUUGACAUCCACAGAACUUAGCAGAGAUGCUUUGGUGCCUUCGGGAACUGUGAGACAGGUGCUGCAUGGCUGUCGUCAGCUCGUGUUGUGAAAUGUUGGGUUAAGUCCCGCAACGAGCGCAACCCUUAUCCUUUGUUGCCAGCGGUCAGGCCGGGAACUCAAAGGAGACUGCCAGUGAUAAACUGGAGGAAGGUGGGGAUGACGUCAAGUCAUCAUGGCCCUUACGACCAGGGCUACACACGUGCUACAAUGGCAUAUACAAAGAGAAGCGACCUCGCGAGAGCAAGCGGACCUCAUAAAGUAUGUCGUAGUCCGGAUUGGAGUCUGCAACUCGACUCCAUGAAGUCGGAAUCGCUAGUAAUCGUAGAUCAGAAUGCUACGGUGAAUACGUUCCCGGGCCUUGUACACACCGCCCGUCACACCAUGGGAGUGGGUUGCAAAAGAAGUAGGUAGCUUAACCUUCGGGAGGGCGCUUACCACUUUGUGAUUCAUGACUGGGGUGAAGUCGUAACAAGGUAACCGUAGGGGAACCUGCGGUUGGAUCACCUCCUUA
rnacentral:rRNA from 1 species